rnacentral:lncRNA from 1 species
GAUCUUUACUCCUGUGAAUAUACAAAGAACCCAAUCAGAAGAUGUCAUCAGAUUCUGCAGUUUGACAAUACACGCCACAGACAGGACUCAGGACCUAACGUGCAACGGACUGCCUUCUCCCGAAUACCACAAUCUUCACUAUGUAAAAUGAAGCUCCAAGGUACAAAAAUGGCAACAUCUUUCAUGCCUUGAUAUUUGUGAAAGGAAAUUUAACCUCCUUGGCCUGUUCUUCAAAACUUCUUGGUUUCUGGAAUCUCCCUGAAAUCUGUGGAAGCCACAGGUGCCCAGCGCAUUUGUAAAACUAGACCACAUGUUACUCCAUUAAUUUUCAUACAAAAAUUUAAGCCCCUGUUUUUCCAAUACUCUGUCUGCAGUUCAGCUGGUAUAAGUGUUGGAGCCAAGGGCAGAGCAAUUCUAUGGACUUGUCAGUUGCUCAGAUGAAUGUAUUUCAAUUUCUAGCUUAUUGUGGUGUAUUUUUUUUCCUAGUGAUAAAACACCAGCACCAACGAAUGAAGAAUUCAAGGAAAGUUUCUCGCAUAGCUUAGCUACUGAUUUUAAGUAGCUAGACACAUGGUUUGUUUGAACACGAAUGAACACAGCUUUGGUUUACAUAAGGAAUAUCUAAUAUCUAACUUGACGAGCAAGUGAAAUAUUUUUGUACCAGAACAGCACAAAACAGCACUGCCCAUAAACAGUG